GAACAUGAGGGUGAUUUAGUUGCCACAUCUGUCACCCCACUGAUCACCAGGACUGAUUCAGCUGAUCUGGUUGGCUAGUAAGUGUCCCCUUCCUCCCUUACAGCUCCAAGUGAGUUCCUCCUACAGCUGCAUGUUCAGUGGAUGAGGACCACCACCUCCAAUAGAGGAGGAUGAUUUCCUCAGUCAAGGGUAUACAAGUAGUUGCACUGCCCUGUUAGAACCUCCACAUAAGCUCUUAAGAAAACUGAAGCAAGAGGAUUGCAGUGAGGCUAAUUUUGUGUAGAACACAAAAAUUAGUACAGGAGCUAGGGUGCAUAAU
rnacentral:snRNA from 1 species